rnacentral:rRNA from 1 species
AUGCACGCUGGCGGCGUGCUUCACCCAUGCAAGUCGAACGAAGCAUUUAAGACAGAUUACUUCGGUUUGAAGUCUUUUAUGACUGAGUGGCGGACGGGUGAGUAACGCGUGGGUAACCUGCCUCAUACAGGGGGAUAGCAGCUGGAAACGGCUGGUAAUACCGCAUAAGCGCACAGUACCACAUGGUACAGUGUGAAAAACUCCGGUGGUAUGAGAUGGACCCGCGUCUGAUUAGCUUGUUGGCGGGGUAACGGCCCACCAAGGCGACGAUCAGUAGCCGACCUGAGAGGGUGACCGGCCACAUUGGGACUGAGACACGGCCCAGACUCCUACGGGAGGCAGCAGUGGGGAAUAUUGCACAAUGGAGGAAACUCUGAUGCAGCGACGCCGCGUGAGUGAAGAAGUAGUUCGCUAUGUAAAGCUCUAUCAGCAGGGAAGAUAGUGACGGUACCUGACUAAGAAGCUCCGGCUAAAUACGUG